rnacentral:rRNA from 1 species
GACGGGGGGUCCUAGCGUUGUUCGGAAUCAUUGGGCGUAAAGCGUGUGCAGGUGGUUUGGUAAGUUGGAUGUGAAAGCCCCGAGCUUAACUCGGGAAGUGCAUUCAAAACUACCAAACUUGAGUAUGGAAGAGGGUUGUGGAAUUCCAGGUGUAGUGGUGAAAUACGUAGAUAUCUGGAGGAACACCGGCGGCGAAGGCGGCGACCUGGUCCUAUACUGACACUCAUACACGAAAGCGUGGGGAUCAAACAGG